rnacentral:ncRNA from 2 species
CGCGUGACUUAGCGCGCCGGAGCCUUCGGGCUUAAUCGGGAAUGCAGUAGGGGGCUUGCCUCCGAUCUGCAGCUGUCCCUGCAACUGUGAGCGGCGAGCGCGGACGACGCGGCGGGGCCAGACCCCGCCAGCCACUGGGCCGGAACGGCCUGGGAAGGUGUCGGACGACGCUGUGACCCGCGAGCCAGGAAACCGGCCGGUGCGUGUCGCUCGAU